rnacentral:rRNA from 1 species
AUUGAACGCUGGCGGCAUGCCUUACACAUGCAAGUCGAACGGCAGCACGGGAGCAAUCCUGGUGGCGAGUGGCGAACGGGUGAGUAAUAUAUCGGAACGUGCCCAGUCGUGGGGGAUAACGUAGCGAAAGCUACGCUAAUACCGCAUACGAUCUAUGGAUGAAANCGGGGGAUCGCAAGACCUCGCGCGAUUGGAGCGGCCGAUAUCAGAUUAGGUAGUUGGUGAGGUAAAGGCUCACCAAGCCGACGAUCUGUAGCUGGUCUGAGAGGACGACCAGCCGCACUGGGACUGAGACACGGCCCAGACUCCUACGGGAGGCAGCAGUGGGGAAUUUUGGACAAUGGGCGCAAGCCUGAUCCAGCAAUGCCGCGUGCAGGAUGAAGGCCUUCGGGUUGUAAACUGCUUUUGUACGGAACGAAACGGUGAGCUCUAAUACAGUUUGCUAAUGACGGUACCGUAAGAAUAAGCACCGGCUAACUACGUG